rnacentral:tRNA from 1 species
UGGCUUAGUGGGUUAGAGCAUGAUGCUGGCAAUAUUAGGGUUGUGGGUUUGAUUCCUGC